UACGUAGGGGGCAAGCGUUGUUCGGAAUUACUGGGCGUAAAGGGCGCGUAGGCGGCACGGCAAGUCGGGAGUGAAAGCCCGGGGCUCAACCCCGGAGGGUCUCUCGAGACUGCCGAGCUAGAGUGCGGAAGAGGCAACCGGAAUUCCCAGUGUAGCGGUGAAAUGCGUAGAUAGUUGGGAAGAACACCGGAGGCGAAGGCGGGUUGCUGGGCCGACACUGACGCUGAGGCGCGAAAGCCAGGGGAGCAAACGGGG
rnacentral:rRNA from 1 species